rnacentral:lncRNA from 1 species
UUCUCGGCUUUCUUUGUUGCUGUUUUGUUAUGUUUGUCUACCCUGGCAGCACUACUGCCAUGGUGUAGUUCUCAUUGCUGCAUUGUAAGUCUUGAUGGCUGUGAAGGUAAUUCCCCCUUUCUCAUUCUUCUUCAGGACUGUCUUGCUCUUCUUAACUCUUGAUCUUAUUUUAAAAUAAGACUGUUAUAUCCUUUGAAGAACCCUAUAGGGAUUUUUGUUGGAACUUCAAUGAGUAUAUGUUAGUUUAGGAAGGAAAUGAUAUUUUCAUUAUUUUUCAUCUUCUCACCCAUAAGUGUGGUAUAUAUCUGCUUUAUUUGCAUCUUAUUUUGUAUCUUUUAGUCGAACUUUAUAGUCUUUUCAUUGUAAACGUGCCUUCCUUUUCAUAACUUUAUUUGUAAUUUUUUUUGGUAUCUAGAUCAUCUUUUCCACAAUUAUAUUUUCUGAUUGAUUGAUGCAAUUGAUAUGUGCAUAUUGAUGUUCUUUCUGUCUUAUAACUUUGAAGUUUGAACAGUUCUAAUGUAGACAUUAUUUGUAUUGCCUAUAGACAUUUUAGUAUUGUCAAUUAUCAAUAAUCAACAGUUUAUUUCUUUCCCAUCUUCCUUUCCCUUUCUUCUCUUUCUUAUUGCAUUGGCUAGGGACUCCAGAAUAAAAUUAAAUAGAAACAGCAUUAGAAGGCUUUCUUUUCUGGGGUGCCUGGGUGGCUCAGCUGGUCCAACUCUUGGUUUUGGCUCAGGUCGUGAUCUCAUGGGCAGUGAGAUUGAGCCUAAGGUCGGGUUCUAUGCUCAGCAGGGGUCAGCUUGGAUAGUCUCUCCUUCUGUCCCUUCCCCUGCUGUGCUCUCUCAAUCAAAUAAACAAAUAUUUUUUUAAAGGCUUCUUUUUCUUAUUCUUGACCUCAAAGGAAAUUUAAAAAAAAAAACUUUUAAUUUUGAUUUUAAUUAAUUAAUUUUUAAAGUAGGCUCUGUACCCAGCAUAGGGCCCAAUGUAGGGCUUGAACUCACAACCCUGAGAUCAAGAUUCAAAUAUAUAACCAAUUGAGCCACCCAGGCACUCCCAAAGGAGAUGCUUCUAAUGCUUCACCAUUAAUUGUGAGAUUUGUUCUGUGUUGUAGAUAAAUACACAAAACACCAAUAUUGAAGUUCUGGUUGAAGGAGGAGAAAUAAAUAUACAUAAAAUUCAUUCUAAGCCACAAAUUGUAGAUAUUAACUUUUAUUAUUUGGAUUGUGGAGAAUUCAGUAUAAAGUUUACAGGAAGAUUAAAUAUUUGCCAACAGCCCCCAUAUGGAAGGAAAAAACCUUACAAAGAGCCCUAAUUAUAAAAUAUCAAACACGUAUUAAUUCAAGCUGAUUAAUUCCUGAGAUCUACAGGACACUAGUGAAGAUCACAAAAAAGGAGUCACAAAAAAUGGAGAAAAUUCUGAGAGUGGUGUAGGAUUUAUUUCAGAGCAUUUUACAACUGUUUUGGAGAUGUUUUAUGAUCCAGGAUCUCUUAGGGCAGGAGAAGUGGAAAAUAACAGGGACAGCUUAGAAACUUGCCCUUAUGAGAGGGAAAAGGGAUGUCUUUUGAAUCUCUCUGUAUUUUUUUGUCUUUUUUCACUUUUACAGAGGCCUUGGUCGUUUUGCAAAGGAAUUAAGUGAUCAUCAACUAGCCUUUUCCCUACCCCUACUUGGCUCAUUUUCUGCCCCUCAUUUUAGGUACCUACUGUUCUGUCUUUUGGUAAUACCUUUCUUCUCAAAGUCAUCUUCCUGGUUACUUAGACCUAUCUAUUUUUUUUUUUUUUUACUUUUUUAACUUUUAUUUAUUUAUGAUAGUCAUACAGAGAGAGAGAGAGAGGCAGAGACACAGGCAGAGGGAGAAGCAGGCUUCAUGCACCGGGAGCCCGACGUGGGAUUCGAUCCCGGGUCUCCAGGAUCGUGCCCUGGGCCAAAGGCAGGCGCUAAACCGCUGCGCCACCCAGGGAUCCCUUAGGCCUAUGUAUUGCCCGUCUAUUUAGCAUUUCCCAAACAGACAUUCUGAGAAAGAGGGAUACCAUGGUCAAAUGAGUUUGGGAAAUACAAUGUUUUUUUUUUUUAAUUUUAUUUAUUUAUUAGAGACAGAGAGAGAGAGGCAGAGACACAGGCAGAGGGAGAAGCAGGCUCCAUACAGGGAGCCCGAUGUGGGACUCCAUCCCGGGUCUCCAGAAUCAUGCCCGGGGCUGAAGGCGGCGCUAAACCUCUAAACCACCAGGGCUGCCGGGAAAUACAAUGUUAAGCCAAACCCAUAGCUUACUUUACUGUAGGCCUUCUAGAACCUUCAGUAUCCUAAUGUGCAUUGUGAAUCUCCAAAAGGAAAAUAUAGCUUGUAGUUUUUCCCCAAUUAAUUGAUCAUUCAUGGAACUUUUUCCAAAGAAUACCUAAUAACACCUCAUAUAACCCAGCUCAUUAAUCUUCAAAAAUGUCCAGCUCUUGUAAACUUUUCCUUAGUGGAAGACAUGCUAUAUGCUCUUUCACUACUAAGUUGUAAAUUCUUUGAGGACAGUUUUUUUUUUUUUUUUUUUUUUUAGGUAUUUCCUGAUUUCAUUACAUAUUAAAACUCUGGCUUUCAUGCUCUCUUAUAGUUUCCACGAUGGGCACAAUGGAUACCACUCAAGAGAUCAUGUAUGGACAAUUUUGCUAAAUAAUCCAAUUCAGUUUUCAAGAUCUUUUUACUAUAUCUCAUUCCAACUACUUUUGAUGCUUUAUUAGAGGCUCUGAGAUAGGCACUGCUGGUGCUAAAAAGAUGAAUAAGAUCUAGUUACACCACACUGGAGAACAUGUAGAGGAAAUAAGUACAUGACAUAAAGCUGAAGUUAAAUGCUAAACAAGAGGUACAAACUACCUUUGAACCUCGGGAUUCAAUGAAGAAACAAUUGAGUAGUUAGGGAAGGGAAACACGUGGUAAGAAUCAGAAAAGAUUUCUUGGAGGAUGUAUCAUUUGGGAUGGGCCUAUUUAAAAAAAAUAGAGACAGGGCAUUACAGGUGUGUGGGGGUAUAACAUAUGCAAACAGGAAGGUAGGGAAGAGGGGGCAAGUUCAAGUGGUUCUGUCUGGCAGGAUGUGUACAGGAUAAAUUGUAGAUGGGAUAUGACCAGAGAAUGGAUAAUAAAAGUAGAAAUACUUUGGGUGCCAAUGUGAGUGAUGUUAGUGCUGCUGUCCACAGGGAGCCUUUGAAGGAUCUUUGAGUGGGAGCAAGUGAUGUGAGGACCACUUGCUCUUCUAUCCUUUGUGGUGUCUCCAAAGCUCUAGAGCCUUUGCCUCUGUCCAGCUCAGUGACAUCCAGUCUCCCGACUUGCAUGUAGAGUACCUCCUCUUGUAGAGCUGUCCAGAGUACAACAGGAUUCACGGCUUCAGACUCUAGUAAAUGCAUCCCCACUCCACUCUGUGUAGGGUACUGUCAGAAACCGGAGUGUUGAGGAGGAGUGUUCAGAUGAAGAAUACAGAUAAGAGGUCUUUGGUGGAUUUAAUGAUAAUACUUUGAAGAGUUAUGAUUUCAGCAUAUUAAAGAGGAAACUGAUAAGAAAAAAAA